rnacentral:rRNA from 1 species
CCUACGGGCGGCAGCAGUGGGGAAUAUUGGUCAAUGGGCGCAAGCCUGACCCAGCAACGCCGCGUGAAGGAAGAAGGCUUUCGGGUUGUAAACUUCUUUUAAGAGGGAAGAGCAGAAGACGGUACCUCUUGAAUAAGCCACGGCUAACUACGUGCCAGCAGCCGCGGGAAUACGUAGGUGGCAAGCGUUGUCCGGAUUUACUGGGUGUAAAGGGCGUGCAGCCGGGAAGACAAGUCAGAUGUGAAAUCCUGCGGCUCAACCGCGGAACUGCAUGUGAAACUGUUUUUCUUGAGUACCGGAGAGGUCAGCGGAAUUCGUGGGGUAGCGGUGAAAUGCGUAGAUAAAAGGAAGAACACCAGUGGCGAAGGCGGAUGACGGGACGGCAACUGACGGUGAGGCGCGAAAGCGUGGGGAGCAAACAGGAUUAGAUACCCGGGUAGUC